AGGGGCAGAGAGAGAGGGAGACACAGAAUCCAAAGCAGGCUCCGGGCUCUGAGCUGUCAGCACAGAGCUCGACGUGGGACUUGAACUCACGAACUGUGAGAUCAUGACCUGAACCGAAGUCGGACGUUUAACCGACUGAGCCACCCAGGCGCCCCUAAAUGUUUAUUUUUGAGAGAGGGAGAGCAUGUGCAAGCAGGGGAGGGGCAGCGAGAGGGGGACAGAGGACCUGAAGCAGACCCUGCACUGACAGCAAUGAACCCAAUGUGGGGCUUGAACUCAUGAACUGUGACAUCAUGAUCUGAGCCAAAUCGGACGCUCAACCUACUGAGCCACCCAGGCGCCCCUGAAAAAUAACUUUUAGUUUGGUAAAUAUAUUACCAGGGAACAGCUUAUUUAUUGUUCUUUAUCAAUAAUGAUAAAAUGUAUGAUAAGAUUCGUAACACUUCAAAAGCCCUCUACUCUAAUAAAAGUAUUUAUUUACUUAUACUAGCACUCCAUGAUUUUGUCCGUGUUUAUGACCAAAUGCUGAAUAUAAUAAUUUGAUAGAAAACAAUUUAAAAUACUGAAUGAUUGCAACCAUCCACCAAGUACUUAGAAACUAAGAAACAAAACAUUAUUGCAGAAUUAGGAGUAUCAGCAAAUGUUGAAAAGGCCAUGGUAUAAGUGGCCAGAAGUAUUUGGAGUACAAGAAGCUGAUAUAACACAGUUGUGCUAGAAUGAAAAGUACAAACUUUGUGUUUGAGACUAUUCAUAAAUAAUAAUGAGUCAUUUAUUUUGUCAAAAAAAGAAGUAUAUUGUCUAGAAAUUAAUAAAUAAAAGCCAGUUUCUUACUAGCGUUACUGCAACACUAAAUUAUAUUUUGCGCUGUAUUAUUUGUGAAUCGAGAUAGCCAUUUACAUUUCAAAAGCCCUUUGAAACUAGACAUUAAUAGAAUACAUUAUCACAAGGUGAUAGAACAUGAUUUGUUUCUGAGUUUCCUGCUGAGAUUACUUUAUAUUUACAGCUGUCCAGGACUGCCAUAAAUUAUGUUUGAUCUUUUUUUUAAGUUAACUCUGCGUGUGUGUGUGUGUGUCUGUGUGUGUGUGCGUGUGUAACACUUAUCUGUAAGCACUUUUAUGCAGCGAAAGGGGAAGAAAAUUGUCAUUAUUACUGCAAGGAAAGGCGUCCUACUUAGUAGUACUCUGCAUAGUGUGAGAACUACUGGCCAAGCUGCAUAAAGAUGGUGCAGAGGCAGCUGGAGGGGGGAGGAACCGAGGCUGGGUGUAUGAAGUGCGGAGAGGGUCGAGUCUGGCAGAAGCAAGCUGAGGUGCAGUAUAAGUUGCUAUGUGGGUUAUUGGUGACAUGACUAGAAAGUAGGUUGAGGCCAGAUUGGAAAAAGUUUGGAGUCCUGGGAUCUGGAAUAAGAACCCUGCCAGGCAGUGGUAACCCAUUUUAAGGUGGCAAGGGAAUGAUGUUAUCAGAGUUGCGCUCUGAAAAAUCAGUCUAAUGUUAGUGAGUAGUACGAAUCAGGUAGCAGAGAGACUGGAGUGCGGGGAGGCCAGACAGAUGCGUCAGAAUCGAGUCUUCACAAAAGUACCAAGCCCAGGUCCUACCAGUAGUGAUUCUGAUUCAGUAAGUCUGGAGGGGCCCAGGGGUCUGCAAUACGAACAGGGUCUCCAAGUGAUUCUUAGACCAGUGGGGUGCUGUGUACCCUUUAAGAAACAUCAAGGAAGGGGCACGUGUGUGGCUCAGUAAGUUAACCAUCAGCGUUCGUCUCAGGUCAUGAUCUCUUGGUUUGGUUUGUGAGUUCGAGCCCCAUGUUAGAAACUAUGCUGUUAGCACAGAGUCCGUUUUAGAACCUCUCUCCCUCUCUUUGACCCUCUCCAGCUUGCUGUCUCUCUCUAAAAAACAAAUAAACU